GAUGAACGCUGGCGGCGUGCCUAAUACAUGCAAGUCGAGCGAACAGACGAGGAGCUUGCUCCUCUGACGUUAGCGGCGGACGGGUGAGUAACACGUGGAUAACCUACCUAUAAGACUGGGAUAACUUCGGGAAACCGGAGCUAAUACCGGAUAAUAUAUUGAACCGCAUGGUUCAAUAGUGAAAGACGGUUUUGCUGUCACUUAUAGAUGGAUCCGCGCCGCAUUAGCUAGUUGGUAAGGUAACGGCUUACCAAGGCAACGAUGCGUAGCCGACCUGAGAGGGUGAUCGGCCACCCUGGAACUGAGACACGGUCCAGACUCCUACGGGAGGCAGCAGUAGGGAAUCUUCCGCAAUGGGCGAAAGCCUGACGGAACAACGCCGCGUGAGUUAUGAAGGUCUUCGGAUCGUAAAACUCUGUUAUUAGGGAAGAACAAAUGUGUAAGUAACUAUGCACGUCUUGACGGUACCUAAUCAGAAAGCCACGGCUAACUACGUG
rnacentral:rRNA from 1 species